AAAAUAAUCUAAACAUGGAAAAACUAUUAAAUAUUGAGAAAAAACAUUGCAAAAUCUAAAAUAAAUUUUAAAAAAAGACAGAAAACUUGGAAGCUUAUGUACAGAGCAAAUGCCAGGACCUGCAAAACUAAUGCUAGUCCUAGAUUACCUAUUGAUUUAAAAUUUAAAAAAAUAAAUAAAAAAAAAAAAGUAAACUUGGAUAGCUU